AAAUCCAAAUUUUUUUGUGGAGUUAAACAAACUUGCCAGGAAUGUGAUAUUUCAGAUCACUUAAUCAAGGAAAAGCCGAACCUAUCUUCAGUCAGAGGAGAUUGUUGCUGAGUUGGUUUAUAGUUUUCUGAUCCCAGAGGUGCAAAAAUACUUUGUCAAAGAAAAAGUGAGGAACGCACAGCGGAAACAUAUUCUUGCAGCCCAUCAGAUCAUCCACAGUUACACGGAAAGCAUGGUUCAAAAGAGAUUAACUGAGGGAGAGCAAGAUGAGGCCUCAAAUGCUGCCAUGUUACUUGAGAAAGAAACUCAAAAUGAGAACAACAGCUAAGAUUGUGAUUUUUUUGUAAAAGAAGCUGUACAAAUCAUCAUAAAUAAUUCCAAUAGUCUGCACUUCUCCCAAGGUGUGCACUGCUCAUAAACUUGCCAGUGUGUGAUUUAUGAGAAAGGAGAUUUAUUUUCCUUAAACAUCCAAUAAUUUAAAAUGAUUUUCAAUAAUAAUAAUCAAAUGAAAAAGCUUCAUUCUCUUCAGUGUCUUCUAGAUGCCCUACUUAAAG
rnacentral:sRNA from 1 species